UGGCACCCCUGUAGCCGCUAUGUUUCCCACGCCCGUGGCAGGCCUGAGAGAUUAUGUUUGCGGGGGGUGCUUUUUUUGUAGCUUCUGUGUUCGCCAUAUUUGAAAGGGGCAGACGGCCAUGUUCGUGAACGGCGCUUCCCUUGGUGCACCUGUGGCCGCCAUGUUUGAGCGAGGACCCCGUGGCAGGCCAGGACCGUUUCUCCGGUGCUAUCCCAGAGCAUGGCGCAUCCACUCAUUCACUCAAGGAAAGCCAGGGGUCUGUGCGGGGAUGCUGCAGGACACGAGAACCAGCCAAGACCUAUGGCCCCUGCAGCCACCGAGGGCUCGAGAGCGCCCCUGUGGACUUGGCUGGGCCCUUCAUGGUGACAUCCAGGAAUGCGGCUGAGCGCGGGUGUUGACCUCGCUGUUUGCUGGAAUGUUUGGGUUCUUGGACCAUGUCAGUGACGGCUGUGUCACCAUGGCCUUGCUAUCCCCAGGAAAACCUAACAUGCACCCCGCGCCUGUCCUCUGGGACUCCCAUCCUCCUCCUUUGUCUGACCCCUGAGAGGCUUACCGUUUCCCCAGGGCAGCCCCGGCUGUGGCCCUCGGCCCUGCUCCAGGCGGCCAUGUCAGUGUCCUCCCUCGGCGCUCCCAACACCCUACCUGGCUCUGCGAUGGCCACCCUGGACUCCUAAACACCCCAGAAAGGGAAGAGAUUUAAGAGGAACCUUGAUUCCUGCCAUUCUGCGCAGUCGUGGGUCCCUCCUCCACCUGGGGCCCUCAAGGGGAUUUCUGUCCGCACUCCCAGCCAGCGACCCCUCCCAGUUCCUGCAGCUGGAGCGGCCCUCUCUCCUGAACAUUCG
rnacentral:lncRNA from 1 species